rnacentral:lncRNA from 1 species
AAGAAUCACCUUCUCACCAUAAGCAUAUCGAUAGCGUGACAUCGACAUUCCAUUGAUUAUCAUUGUGAGGAACCGAGCAUGAGCACAAAGCUUCCGCCCACACAAAGGUUUGUACAACUCAGCUCUCACAUGAGUCCUCAACUGAAAUCUAACUUAACUCUAUCUCACUCUUAACUUGCUCUUUGCUCGAUACGAAUUCUUCGUAUCUCACCACAUACAACUCCUCAUGAGUUCAUAUCGUACCAUUUCAUAGUACAAUCUCUUAUAGCAUCAAGCUAUACACACUUAGUCGUUACAGACUAUUAUCACUUCAUAGCUCAAUCUGAUCACGUUGUGAUCAUCAAUUUACCUUAGGGUUCUUUCCCUAUUAUCAACAAAACUCCACUCGAGUUCAUUCUUAUUAUCUUUGUCAUAUUUAUCUUAUAGAUAACAUCUUAACAUUUUUAUUAUCGGAGUUAGGAAACUCUUGAAUUAUCAUUAUCUUAGAUACUUCAAGAUUCUUCUUUGAAUCUUCACUUAUAUAUUUUAAUCUUUAUC